ensembl:lncRNA
CUUCCACAUGGAACAAUUGAAAGCAUCAUUAAGCAAUGCAAAUAUUUCUGGGAGAACAAGGAAGGCCUGAUGAUGGAAGAUGGAACCUUUGUAGGUUUCUGUAACUUCCUGGCUGACUUGUUUGAGGCCAUCAGUAAAUUCAGCCUUCUCCUUCAAAGGAAUGAUAUCAUCUUGCCUCAGAGGCUGUCAGCGGGAUUGAAAAUCUCACUGAGACUGUUGAGGCCAUGGCAGUCAGAUGCAUGCCAGGUGGUAGGCUAGCAGAGCUACAGACAGAUCAUCGGGCUCAGAAACGAAGGAAGGAGGAUGAUGCUGAGAUUCACCCUGUAUACAAAUAUCAGACGAAGAGUCCACAGCAACAGCAACCACAAAGACAGUGAGGUAAUUUAAGAUCUUCAGUCAUGAUUCCUGGCCAGAGCAGAGAGACCAGCUGAUAGACUAUGGUGCAGAGGAGCUGGACUUCCUGCUGGACCAUUUCUCCACCAUAUUAACAAG